UACGGGGGGGGGCAAGCGUUGUUCGGAAUUACUGGGCGUAAAGGGCGCGUAGGCGGCCUGCUAAGUCACACGUGAAAUCCCUCGGCUCAACCGGGGAACUGCGUGUGAUACUGGCGGGCUUGAAUUCGGGAGAGGGAUGUGGAAUUCCAGGUGUAGCGGUGAAAUGCGUAGAUAUCUGGAGGAACACCGGUGGCGAAGGCGGCAUCCUGGACCGAGAUUGACGCUGAGGCGCGAAAGCUAGGGGAGCAAACGGG
rnacentral:rRNA from 1 species